AGUCGCAGGUCCCCAGUGGCAGCAAAUGGCAGGCAGACGGCGGUGAGGGAGCUCGCGGUGCCGCUCUGGGCCCGCUCCUCGCCGCCCAGCUGAGCAGAAUGCGCGGCAGGAAAGUGGGAGGCAGCGUUGAGCUGCACCAGAAAAACUAGGCCUCCAGGGAGACAGUGAACCCCAGCUGUGCCCCCUCUUUUGGGGUAAAUGUACAUCUGGGCACUCUGGGCACGGCUCCAGCCAAUCAGCCAGGCUUAUCCUCCCACAGCUUCUCACAAAAGCCUGCUCGCUCAGAGCAGAUGGCAGUGCCAAGACGGAGGCUCCACAGAGAUGGAGGCCACCCAUGGGGCUGGCGCUGCCAGAACGUUGCUGCUCCUUGCAAACGCCCUUUGUCCCACCCCCAUCUGUAAGGCACCCUGCUUGCCUCAGCUCCUAAACCUUGGAGAGGGCUGCCAAGCUCAAGCCCCACACUCACAACAGGGAGGAGGAAGAAAGAAGAAAAGAGGCCUCACUUCUGUGGUGUUUCACCGACAACAACUGCAGCCAGAACACAGUCACUCCAGACUGCUAGGGAAUUUGGAAGGCGUGUUCGGAUCUUUCCAGACUUUAUAUCAGAGAAAAGCAAAUGAAGAGUAGACUGGAAGUGUAAGCUACCCUACAUCACUGCCACGGCUGGCUUGAGACAAAUUCUAGGAUUGCCUGUCUUUCCUCUAUGUUCUGCGUCCCCUGAAUACAGGGGUACUGGUUUAGUAAUCACAAAACAAAAUAAGCAACACCAGAGACCCAGUGGUAUGUAUUAAUGUUCAAUUAAGUAUUUUUUGAGUUAACAUCUCCUUGAAGGAAGUUAUGGGAAUUAGUGCUCUAUAGGUAAAAUUUCAUGGCCAAGAUGAGUCCUGCUGAACAGAGAAUGUUCCUAAAAGCCACUGAGCAAAGCUACGGUGGAAUCACUAUUUCAGUGGGGAUUUAUUUCUACCUAAGCCUACUUCUAAAGAGAUUGAGAUCAUAUUGCAUGAUUAAAACAAUCUAUGAGCCAUGCCACGUAGAACGACAAGUAUCAAAGAGGGGGUAUAUGUCGCUGCAGAUUCUGGACAUUAAAAUAAAUGGGAUCAUGGGAGAAGAUGAAAAAAGUCAAAUACAUACCAAGAAGUCAUGUAAUAGAGCUUGAUGUAGGCAUUAAGAUUCUUUGACAGACUGUGGCCCAACUGAAGCCAAGCUGCUGGAGUCUCCCCAUUAAAAACCUCCAGAGCCAUAGGAAGAUACUGAACACCUAAUUCUUUUUUGUGCAUCUUCCCAUUGGACCCUCCUCAGGGAUUUAAGCAAGUAUAAACAGCUACUAUGCAGAAGGCAUGGGAAUAGGCAAUUCCAUGUGUCUCAUCUCAUCUGAUUUUUGAACCAAGAGAGGGAUUGGUAAAAUUAAUUUUAGUUCUGCAACUGGCCUGCCUGGAUAUUAUACCAGGAACAGGCCUGGAGUAAGAAUGCAAGAAAGGCUGCCUUGAAAGAACACAACAAAAUAUUAUCUUGUGAUUAUGAUAAUUUUAUAAAGUACUUAACUUUAUAAAGUA